rnacentral:rRNA from 1 species
AACGAACGCUGGCGGCAGGCCUAACACAUGCAAGUCGAGCGCCCCGCAAGGGGAGCGGCGGACGGGUGAGUAACGCGUGGGAAUAUGCCCUUUGCUACGGAAUAGUCUCGGGAAACUGGGGGUAAUACCGUAUACGCCCUUUGGGGGAAAGAUUUAUCGGCGAAGGAUUAGCCCGCGUUGGAUUAGGUAGUUGGUGGGGUAAUGGCCUACCAAGCCGACGAUCCAUAGCUGGUUUGAGAGGAUGAUCAGCCACACUGGGACUGAGACACGGCCCAGACUCCUGCGGGAGGCAGCAGUGGGGAAUCUUAGACAAUGGGGGCAACCCUGAUCUAGCCAUGCCGCGUGAGUGAUGAAGGCCUUAGGGUUGUAAAGCUCUUUCAGCUGGGAAGAUAAUGACGGUACCAGCAGAAGAAGCCCCGGCUAACUCCGUG